GCCCAGUGAUGAGAUUAUGGCAAACGUGAGACGAGUGGCUGAGAGACUGUAUCUUCUAGCUCUCUGAUUGGUGGGUAAUCUUGGAUGAGCAGUGGAGAUUGGCUGCCCACCUGUAAGGGCCCACCCACAGUACAGACAGCAACCAAUCAUAAUACCAUAGUCUCCUAAAGAAAUGGGCUAUGGAAAGUGAUGGGUAGCAUAUAUAUGUGUGUGUGUGUGUGUGUGUGUGUGUGUGUGUGUGUGUGUGUGUGAGUGAGUCAGACAGCAGAGUUGCAGUCCUCUUUUCAAGUCACUUGGCUUUGAGCAUGUUCUUUGGUAAUCUGAGGGCA